CCGCGGGAUUAGAGUUUGAUCCUGGCUCAGCCUGAACGCUGGCGGCGUGGCUAAGACAUGCAAGUCGAACGGUGUAGCAAUACACAGUGGCGAACGGGUGAGUAAUGUAUCGCUAACGUACCCUUAUGUCAGGGAUAGCCGGGGGAAACUCCGGGUAAUACCUGAUGAAAUUCCUUUUUCGCAUGGAAAAGGACUCAAAGGAGCAAUCCGCAAAAGGAGCGGGCGAUAUCGUAUCAGCUAGUUGGUGAGGUAACGGCUCACCAAGGCGACGACGCGUAGCCGGGCUGAGAGGUCGGCCGGCCACAUUGGGACUGAGACACUGCCCAGACUCCUACGGGGGGCUGCAGUAACGAAUCUUCCGCAAUGCACGCAAGUGUGACGGAGCGACGCCGCGUGUGGGACGAAGUCCUUCGGGAUGUAAACCACUGUCAGGGGUAAGAAAGUUCUGAUCUACCCCAGAGGAAGGCACGGCUAACUCUGUGCCAGCAGCCGCGGUAAGACAGAGGUGCCGAGCGUUAGGCGGAAUCACUGGGCUUAAAGCGUGUGUAGGCGGAUCGUUAAGUACCUUGUGAAAUCCCACGGCUCAACCGUGGAACGGCUGGGUAUACUGGCGAUCUUGAGCGAUCUAGGGGCAGAUGGAACAAGUGGUGGAGCGGUGAAAUGCGUAGAUAUCACUUGGAACGCCAAAGGUGAAGACAGUCUGCUGGGGAUCUGCUGACGCUGAGACACGAAAGCCAGGGGAGCGAACGGGAUUAGAUACCCCGGUAGUCCUGGCCCUAAACGAUGUCGACUAGAUCGCGGGACCUCUGACGGUUUCGCGGUCGAAGCAAAAGUGCUAAGUCGACCGCCUGGGAAGUACGGUCG
rnacentral:rRNA from 1 species